UAUUGGACAAUGGGGGAAACCCUGAUCCAGCAAUGCCGCGUGAAUGAUGAAGGCCUUAGGGUUGUAAAGUUCUUUCACCUGUGAAGAUAAUGACGGUAGCAGGAGAAGAAGCCCCGGCUAACUCCGUGCCAGCAGCCGCGGUAAGACGGAGGGGGCUAGCGUUGUUCGGAAUGACUGGGCGAAAGGGCGCGUAGGCGGUUUUUUAAGUGAGGCGUAAAGCCCUGGGCUAACCCAGGAGGUGCGUUUCAUACUGAAGACUUAGACAGAGAGAAAGCGAAUUCCAGUGAGAGGUAAAUUCGAGUUAGAAGACACCAGUGGCGAGGCGCUUUCUGGCUCGACUGCGUGGCCAAAUCG
rnacentral:rRNA from 1 species